rnacentral:rRNA from 1 species
UACAGAGGGGGCAAGCGUUGUUCGGAAUUACUGGGCGUAAAGGGCGCGUAGGCGGCCUGUUAAGUCGGACGUGAAAUCCCUAGGCUCAACCUAGGAACUGCGUCCGAUACUGGCAGGCUUGAAUCCGGGAGAGGGAUGCGGAAUUCCAGGUGUAGCGGUGAAAUGCGUAGAUAUCUGGAGGAACACCGGUGGCGAAGGCGGCAUCCUGGACCGGCAUUGACGCUGAGGCACGAAAGCGUGGGGAGCGAACAGG